rnacentral:rRNA from 1 species
UACGAAGGGGGCCAGCGUUGCUCGGAAUGACUGGGCGUAAAGGGCGCGUAGGCGGUUUGGUUCGUUAGGCGUGAAAUUCCUGGGCUUAACCUGGGGGCUGCGCUUAAUACGGCCAGGCUUGAGUGUGAAAGAGGGUCGUGGAAUUCCCAGUGGUAGAGGUGAAAUUCGUAGAUAUUGGGAAGAACACCGGUGGCGAAGGCGGCGACCUGGUCCAUUACUGAGCUGAGGCGCGAAAGCGUGGGGAGCAAACAGG